CCUCCUUACCAAAAUGUCGAUGGUGACAUUGUUAGUGUAGUGCCUACACAAAUUGUCUUGUUUAAAAGUUUAAAGAUGUGCCUUAGAGCGCUUAAUUUUGAUUGCAAAAUCAAACUUAAGUGCUUUCUUUGAAAGCAUUAUGUUCUUUAACGAUUUGGAAAGCUGAUAUUUAAUUAGUAAAUCAAUCAAAAUUUGAGUAAUUGAGAAGUCGAAAGACGUACUUACUACUCUACUUGACUUGAAUUGCUUGUUAUCAAUCUUUAUUUGAUAGCAAGGCAAUUUCACGAUUAGCCUGUCAUGCAUACAACUGAGUUAGAUCUCAUCUAAGUCCUGAAUUCAAAAGGCGGGAGAGCUCUUCGUUCAAUCAUUGUUUUAAUAUUCUUAUUUAUAAGGUUAUUANUGCAAUGGUCGAGGUAACAGUUUCUAGUCGACUAAAUCGACGAGUAAGCGAAGGCACACACUUUUAGUAUGUAACUGAGCGAACGAGGAAAAUUUAGGAAGAAUAGGAAGUGUUUAACGAAGGCCAUUUGGGGUUGUAUGGUUAAGUGACUAACCGUAUACGGUGGAUGC
rnacentral:misc_RNA from 1 species